rnacentral:rRNA from 1 species
GUGGGGAAUAUUGCACAAUGGAGGGAACUCUGAUGCAGCGACGCCGCGUGAGUGAAGAAGUAUUUCGGUAUGUAAAGCUCUAUCAGCAGGGAAGAGAAUGACGGUACCUGACUAAGAAGCACCGGCUAAAUACGUGCCAGCAGCCGCGGUAAUACGUAUGGUGCAAGCGUUAUCCGGAUUUACUGGGUGUAAAGGGAGCGCAGGUGGCAUGGCAAGCCAGAAGUGAAAGCCCGGGGCUUAACCGCGGGACUGCUUUUGGAACUGUUGUGCUGGAGUGCAGGAGGGGUAAGCGGAAUUCCUAGUGUAGCGGUGAAAUGCGUAGAUAUUAGGAAGAACACCGGUGGCGAAGGCGGCUUACUGGACUGUAACUGACACUGAGGCUCGAAAGCGUGGGGAGCAAACAGG